rfam:Gossypium raimondii Chr08_contig_1295, whole genome shotgun sequence.
UUUUAAAAAUUUCAUCUAUUUGUACCGUAAGAAAUUGGCGUGACUAAUGGAAUAAUUAGAUAGUGGCAUAUGGCACACCAUGCGUAUCUUAUAUUGAUAUACAAGAACUAACUUUUGAUAGUAGAAAUAGACGAAAUUUUUAAUG